rnacentral:rRNA from 1 species
GACGAACGCUGGCGGCGUGCCUAAUACAUGCAAGUAGAACGCACAGUUUAUACCGUAGCUUGCUACACCAUAGACUGUGAGUUGCGAACGGGUGAGUAACGCGUAGGUAACCUGCCUGGUAGCGGGGGAUAACUAUGGGAAACGAUAGCUAUUACCGCAUAAUAUUGAUUAUUCCAUGAUAAUUGAUUGAAAGAUGCUAUGGCAUCACUACAAGAUGGACCUGCGUUGUAUUAGCUAGUAGGUGAGGUAACGGCUCACCUAGGCGACGAUACAUAGCCGACCUGAGAGGGUGAUCGGCUACACUGGGACUGAGACACGGCCCAGACUCCUACGGGAGGCAGCAGUAGGGAAUCUUCGGCAAUGGACGAAAGUCUGACCGAGCAACGCCGCGUGAGUGAAGAAGGUUUUCGGAUCGUAAAGCUCUGUUGUAAGAGAAGAACGGGUGUGAGAGUGGAAAGUUCACACUGUGACGGUAUCUUACCAGAAAGGGACGGCUAACUACGUG